CUCCGUCUGUGGUUCAAGAAAGGAGAAAGCUGUCUACUAGGUGCUGGUAUCCAUUUAUUCCUCUACGACAGAGCCCACAUAGCUGGAAGGCAGCAGGGGUAGAGUUGAAACCCAGGCUAGGAUAUAAAAGACAUUGUGACUUCCACCUUGCUCUGCCUUGAAUUACCCACUUUGUGGAAGCCAGCUGCCAUGUUGUAAGGACACUCAAGCAGCCUAGGGAGAGUGCCAUGUGGUGAGAAAUUGAGGCCUCCUGCCGACAGCCAGCCCCAAAUUGCCAGCCACAUGAAUGAACCACCUUGGAAGCAGCUCCUCUAGCCUCAGUCGGACUUUCAGAUAACUGCAGCCCUAGCUGACAUCUUGACUGCCACCCCAUGAGAGACUCCAGGCCAGAAUCAGCCAGCCAAGCCACUCCAAACUUUCUGACCCAUGGAAGCUGUAUGAGAUAAUAAAUGUUUGUUGCUGCUUUAA